rnacentral:lncRNA from 1 species
AUUUAACAUAUCACAUCAACUUACGCAACAAAGAAUUAGGUCCUCUAGUUUCGCACGGUCUCACUUUAGUAUUCUAUGUUGUUUUAUUUUUAUCCUUUUGUCAGUUUCUCUGUUAAUAUUUUAUUAAAUUAUAUACAAAAAAUUUCAGAUACUCCACCUAAAUUUAUCGAAUAUUCAUUUUAGUAUUCUUUAGUUUUAACCUUGUCACUGAUUUAAUAAAAAAAAUUAAUAGAAUCGAUAAUAAAAAGAUAAAAAUAAAAUCAUAGAAUACUAAAUUGAUACACUUUAAAUCACAGAGUAUUAAAGUGAGAACGUGUAAAAUCACGUAGGUGAUUUUUGAAGUUUUUUUAAAAAAUUAUAAAAUUUUGUAUGUAGUAAAAU